rnacentral:piRNA from 1 species
UGAAAUUUCUAAAGUUUUUGAAGUCUC